rnacentral:rRNA from 1 species
CUAUCUGCUCAUGAAAUUAAAUAGCCGCAGAAUUUUUACUGUGCUAAGGUAGCAUAAUCACUAGUCUCUUAAUUAGAAACUCGAAUGAAAGAUCUAACAUUUUAUUGGCUUUUUUAGAUUAAUUUUCAAAACUUAUACUAAGUAUAAAAAUAUACUUAUUCAAAAAACAGACGACAAGACCCUAUCGAACUUAACCGAUGUUUAGCUGGGGCAGCUAAUUAAACACAAUUUUAAUUAAUACUAUAAAAAAAAUUAACCCAAUACAAUUGAAAUUGAACAAGUUACCGUAGGGAUAACAGCGUAAUUUAUUUUCUAAGCUCUUAUUUAAAAAUAAGAUUACGACCUCGAUGUUGAAUUAUAUCUCCUCUCAGCGCAAUAGCCUUCAAGGAAGGUCUGUUCGACCUUUAAACUUUUACAUGAUCU